UUUGUACGAAUGAUGGUCCACCUUAAUAUACCAAAGCAUGAGAAGGUAUCGUAAUUGAUGAAGAAUAAAACAACGAUGGUGCCCCUUGAUGGAAGAUUAAUAAAUAUUAUCUUUUAUAGUUUGGUUUCCCAAUUAGAUUUGUGCAAGUAGAUUGGUCAUGUAAGAAGUGCUUUUGACUCAAAUUUCUUAAAUGGUAUUGUAAUUCUAGAAUUGUAUGCUCGAAUUUUGUAAAUUUACCAGAUUUCAUUAAUAAAAGAG
rnacentral:lncRNA from 1 species